rnacentral:autocatalytically_spliced_intron from 1 species
UGAAGAUAUAGUCCAUGCCUGGCAGUAAUGUCG